rnacentral:rRNA from 1 species
GCAGCAGUGGGGGAAUAUUGCACAAUGGGCGCAAGCCUGAUGCAGCCAUGCCGCGUGUGUGAAGAAGGCCUUCGGGUUGUAAAGCACUUUCAGUCGUGAGGAAGGUAGUGUAGUUAAUAGCUGCAUUAUUUGACGUUAGCGACAGAAGAAAGCACCGGCUAACUCCGUGCCAGCAGCCGCGGUAAUACGGAGGUGCGAGCGUUAAUCGGAAUUACUGGGCGUAAAGCGCAUGCAGGUGGUUUGUUAAGUCAGAUGUGAAAGACCCGGGGCUCAACCUCGGAAUAGCAUUUGAAACUAGGCAGACUAGAGUACUGUAGAGGGGGGUAGGAAUUUCAGGUGUAGCGGUGAAAUGCGUAGAGAUCUGAAGGAAUACCGGUGGCGAAGGCGGCCCCCUCGGACAGAUACUGACACUCAGAUGCGAAAGCGUGGGGAGCAAACAGGAUUAGAUACCCUGGUAG